rnacentral:lncRNA from 1 species
GAAUAGUAUGGAUUCAUUCUGUUAACAAUUAUCAUUUUAUAUUAUUUAGAAGUCCUGUUUGGCUGCAUAUGACAACAAAGGAAUUGCGGGGAGAUAAUUUUGUCUAUGCAUUAUUGAACAUUUUCCAGAUGAAUGACCUCAAGUACUUGUAAGCAUUGCCUCUACUUUUGAAGUAAAGAGACUAAGGACUCGACUAAACCAACUGUUCAAAAGGAGUUACCAGACCAACAAACAUAAUGUAAAACACUCAUUAUUCCCUUUUGUGGCAGGACUGUUCUCCAUCCAGUUAGAAUACUUACCAGAAUCGGAAGAGUACAAGGAACUCCUAGAUGAAUCAUUGGAACCACCCUUAGGACUGCAGCACCU